rnacentral:rRNA from 1 species
CGGCACGCCUUAUACAUGCAAGUCGAACGAAGUAGCAAUACUUAGUGGCAGACGGGUGAGUAACAUGUAGGUAUCUUCCCUUUGGUGAGGAAUAACACGAGGAAACUUGUGCUAAUACCUCAUAAGUCUUUACGGAGAAAGCUUUAUGCGCCGAAGGAUGAGCCUGCACUUGAUUAGUUUGUUGGUGGGGUAAUGGCCUACCAAGACUUUGAUCUAUAGCUGAUCUGAGAGGAUGAUCAGCCACAUUGGGACUGAGACACGGCCCAAACUCCUACGGGAGGCAGCAGUAGGGAAUAUUGCACAAUGGAGGAAACUCUGAUGCAGCGAUGCCGCGUGAGUGAAGAAGGCCUUUGGGUUGUAAAGCUCUUUCGUCGGGGAAGAAAAUGACUGUACCCGAAUAAGAAGGUCCG